UCCAACUUAUCGCUGGCGGUCUCCUGCGAGUUCCCAACUGAAUGAUGGCAACACAGGACAAGGGUUGCGCUCGUUGCGGGACUUAACCCAACAUCUCACGACACGAGCUGACGACAGCCAUGUAGCACCUGUGUUCCGGUUCCCUUUCGGGCACAACCGCCUUUCAGCAGCCUUCCGGACAUGUCAAGGGUAGGUAAGGUUGUUCGCGUUGCAUCGAAUUAAUCCACAUCAUCCACCGCUUGUGCGGGUCCCCGUCAAUUCCUUUGAGUUUUAGCCUUGCGGCCGUACUCCCCAGGCGGGGUGCUUAAUGCGUUAGCUUCGGCACGGAUGGGGUUGAUAUCCACCCACACCUAGCACCCAACGUUUACGGCUAGGACUAC
rnacentral:misc_RNA from 1 species